ACAGAGUGUGAUUAUACAACUAUUAAUACAUGUGAAGGGAGCACCAGGAAAUUAAAAAGAUACAAUGGUAGGAAGGAAAGCACAACAAGGGAGGGGGCAGUACCUCCCCCUGGACAAUAAGACAAUGACCAAGGCUGUCUGUAUACGUAAAGACCUGAUUCACGGUACAGAACAAGGGUCAAACUACCACCAGGCUCAUAAAUCUACUGGAAAAUCUCGCAACACCCACGAAAGCCUUGUCAAAUAAUAUGUUUAAUAAGAGAAUUAAGUAGUAGUAGUGAAAUGCCAGAAUUUUUCUCUUUACAAACACUCCCACACGGCCACUGCGUAUAACGAAACACACGAGACAUCAAUCCAGACAAGGAAAGGUUUGCCGGCGCCGGGGAUCGAACCCGCGACCAGCGUAACGGGAGAGCCACUCCUUUACCAGUCAGCCAAAGAGGCACCCACAAAAAAACGCUUCACUUUGCAAUAUAAACUUUCAAACAGCUUUCAAGGGAUCACGUAACAAAUCGAACCGAAAAAUUCUACCGCCCCCCUCCCUUGUUGUGCAUUCCUUCCUACCAUUGUAUCUUUUUAGUUUCAUGGUGCUACCUACACAUGUAUUAAUAGUUGUAUAAUCACACUCUGUCCUGCCUGGGGGUUGGGAUGGCAUGUUCCUCCCUUCUCCCUUGUUUACCUGCAACAGUAAACUAUCAAUCAAUCAACAUGGAGCUUGCAUAAUAUUAGUCUUGGGUAAUUUCCUGCCACAUUCAACGCAAACACUGAUGGGAAGGUAUAUUAGCAAGAUUUCCACCAGCUUAUCACUUAAAAUCCACUGCCGGCAAAGUUAUAAUGCGUUACGGGCAUGGCGUUACUUAGGCGGUGACGCGGUAAACUCUACGGUCCCGGCCUGCCAUGUUUACAUUACUCCUACUAACUACUACUACUACUACUACUACUACUACCACUACACCACCCCAGAGCCACAGACACAUGCAGACAUAUACCAUUUUCUUCCUCACCUCCACAAAACACAUAUAACCAAGACAUACGAGGAGGACAAAGAUAAAUAUAAGAUCAGAAGUGGAAAAUUUUAUUAGAAGAAUCCAAUCAUCUCUAUCCUAAGCCCUUAAGGUUGAAAUAGACAAAUGGAAAAUACACUAAUGGAUAAUGGCACAGCUUGGCAUUUGUAGGCGUGUAAAAAAUGACGCAAGGAAAAUAUUGGUAGUGAAUAUAUAUUGAUAGUGAAAAACAUUGAUAUAGUGAAAAAACAUUGAUAGUGAAAAAUACUGGUAGUGAAAACAUUGAUAGUGAGGAAUAUUGAUAGUGAAAAACAUUGAUAUGAAAAACAUUGAUAGUGAAAAACAUUGAUAGUGAAAAACAUUGAUAGUGAAGAACAUUGAUAGUGCAAAAUACUGAUAGUGGGACCUCAUUACCUUAUCACCUGGGCAGCGUCAAUAGAGGUUUUAAUUGAGGGAGAAUAAGCUACAGGUAUGACAGGGGAGAAUGUGAUUACUACUGUUAUAAUUAUCAAGGUUAUAAAAGCUGUAAUACUUGUCACAAACUCUAAAGUAAUGAUUAUAAAAACAAUAGAAAUCAGUGCAUAUAUAUAAUAAAUGAUAAUAUAUAUAACAAUAACAAUUAGUAUAUCAAUAAAAUAAAUGAAUCUAAUAAUGCAAGUUGUCUAUAAGGUAACACUAUAAUCUGAAAUAAUAAUAAUGAUGAAAUGAUAAUUACUCCAUCAAUAAAAUAAAUACAAUAAUUAAAGUGAUUUGUCCUUGUUAAUAAAAAGCAACAGAAUAAAAGACAAAAGGGAGGAAAACAAGAGCUAUCGUUUAUUCCUCUGACAAUAAUGAAAAAUAAAAUCAAUAAAAAUCAUUCAUAAUAAAAUAUCUCGUUAAAAAGAAUAGCUGACAAUAAGGCACAGGGAGUCUUAGCUUACGGAGGCUACUGCUCAUCAAAACACUUACUGGAUAUCUCAUUCUUUGUUUUGAAUGUCGUAAGAAAAGUAAAAACAGGCAUUGGAGCCAUUCACUGCAACAUGGAAGGCUGGUCUACGCACUGACACACACACACACACACACACACACACGUAACUAUCUUAACACUGGAAGACGUAGUAAUCAUAAACACACACACACACACACACACACACACACACACACACACACACACACACACAAGCUGAAAUACCGUUGACAGUUGUGUUUUUUUUUCUUUGUUGUUGUGAUAAUUCUGGAAGAUUCUUGUUGUUGUUGUUGUUGUUGUUGUAGAUAAUGGGAUGUUUUAUUUAAAGCUCCAUGGCUGCCUUUCUCUCUCUCUCUCUCUCUCUCUCUCUCUCUCUCUCUCUCUCUCUCUAACACUUUAUUUCAG